GGGGAAUAUUGCACAAUGGAGGAAACUCUGAUGCAGCAACGCCGCGUGAGUGACGAAGGCCUUCGGGUUGUAAAGCUCUGUCAUCUGGGACGAUAAUGACGGUACCAGAGGAGGAAGCCACGGCUAACUACGUGCCAGCAGCCGCGGUAAUACGUAGGUGGCGAGCGUUGUCCGGAAUUACUGGGCGUAAAGGAUGCGUAGGUGGUAAUUUAAGUCAGAUGUGAAAUACCCGAGCUUAACUUGGGCACUGCAUAUGAAACUGGAUUACUAGAGUGCAGGAGAGGAAAGCGGAAUUCCUAGUGUAGCGGUGAAAUGCGUAGAUAUUAGGAAGAACACCAGUGGCGAAGGCGGCUUUCUGGACUGUAACUGACACUGAGGCAUGAAAGCGUGGGGAGCAAAC
rnacentral:rRNA from 1 species